CCUACGGGAGGCAGCAGUGAGGAAUAUUGGUCAAUGGACGAGAGUCUGAACCAGCCAAGUAGCGUGAAGGAUGACUGCCCUAUGGGUUGUAAACUUCUUUUAUAAAGGAAUAAAACGAGGCACGUGUGCCUUUUUGCAUGUACUUUAUGAAUAAGGCUCGGCUAACUCCGUGCCAGCAGCCGCGGUAAUACGGAGGAUUUGAGCGUUAUCCGGAUUUAUUGGGUUUAAAGGGAGCGUAGAUGGGUUGUUAAGUCAGUUGUGAAAGUUUGCGGCUCAACCGUAAAAUUGCAAUUGAUACUGGCGGUCUUGAGUGCAGUUGAGGUAGGCGGAAUGCGUGGUGUAGCGGUGAAAUGCUUAGAUAUCACGAAGAACCCCGAUUGCGAAGGCAGCUUACUAAACUGUGACUGACAUUGAUGCUCGAAAGUGUGGGUAUCAAACAGGAUUAGAUACCCGGGUAGUC
rnacentral:rRNA from 1 species